rnacentral:rRNA from 1 species
UGCCAGCCGCCGCGGUAAUACGGAGGGAGCGAGCGUUAAUCGGAAUUACUGGGCGUAAAGCGCGCGUAGGCGGCUUUGUAAGUCGGAUGUGAAAGCCCUGGGCUCAACCUGGGAAUUGCAGUUGAUACUGGCCGACUAGAGUACGAGAGAGGGAGGUAGAAUUCCAUGUGUAGCGGUGAAAUGCGUAGAUAUAUGGAGGAAUACCAGUGGCGAAGGCGGCUUUCUGGACCAAUACUGACGCUGAGAUGCGAAAGCGUGGGGAGCGAACAGGAUUAGAUA